rnacentral:tRNA from 1 species
CCCCGCUUAGCUCAAUUUGUAGAGCACUCCACUGCAAAUGGUGAGCUCCCGGGUUCGAUACCCGGACUAGGCG